UCAGAUAUACACGGUCCACUACAUUGAUCAUCAUAGCCCAUUACAUGUAUAUCAUGAGUAUACAGUAAAUAUACAAUGAAUAUACAAUGAUUUACAAUGAAUAUGUCACUUAUCCUUUGGCUUGGAAGCCAUAUAAUCUGUCAUCUCAACACCUCCCUCAAGUUGGAGGAGGAGACCACCUGCAACUUGAGCAACAAGGGAUGAAUCACAGUGCCAGGCAAAGGCUUGGUCAGAAGGUCAGCCAGCUGACGAGUUGUAGGGACAUGAAACAGUUGAAUAAGGCCAUUCUGGAGCUGGUCGCAUACAAAGUGACAGUCCACUUCAAUAUGUUUGGUCUGUUCAUGAAAACAGGAUUCUUAGCUAUGUGAAUAGGAGCCUGACUGUCACAAUAUACAGAAAAAGGAAGAGAAGCAGAAACCCCAAGGUCUUGAAAUAAACGAGACAACCAAGACAAUUCUGCAACAACCUUACUGAGGGCCCUGUAUUUAGCUUCAACAGAAGAUAAAGAAACAUUCUGGAGCUGGUCGCGUACAAAGUGACAGUCCGCUUCAAUAUGUUUGGUCCGUUCAUGAAAAACAAGAUUCUUAGCUAUGUGAAUAGCAGCCCGGCUGUCACAAUAUACAGAAAAAGGAAGAGAAACAGAAACCCAAGGUCUUGAAAUAAACGAGACAACCAAGACAAUUCUGCAACAACCUUACCGAGGGCCCUGUAUUCAGCUUCAGCAGAAGAUAAAGAAACCACUGGUUGUUUCUUAGACUUCCAGCUAAUCAGGCAACCACCCAGAAUAAUACAGAACCCAGUAACAUAUCUUCGAGUAUCAGGGCAUGCAGCCCAGUCACUAUCAGAAUAACCAAUAACAGAGAAAUCAUUGCAGUCAGAAUAAAAGAUACCCAUAGAAGGGGUACCUUGUCACUGUCAGAGUAACCAAUAACAGAGAAAUCAUUGCAGCCAGAAUAAAAGAGACCCAUAGAUGGGGUACCUUUAAGGUAUCUCAGUACAUGAAUGGCAGCAGUCAUAUGGGGGAGUCUGGGGCAUUUGAGAAACUGACUCAGAUGUUGCACAACAAAACAGAUGUCAGGCCUAGUAUGAGUCAGAAAUAAGAGUUUACCGACAAGACUCCUAAACUGAUCAGGAGAAGGCAAAAGGUCACCAGAAUCAGCAUGUAACUUUGCAUUAAUGUCCAAAGGACAAACAACAGAAGAGACAUUGACACAGUCAAACUGUUGCAGCAAAUCAGAAAUAUAUUUGUGCUGAUUAAGGAUCAUCCCACCAGGAACAGCUGACAUCUCUAUGCCUAAAAGAUAAUGUAAGGACCCUAGGUCCUUAAUUUUGAACUGAUCAUCCAGAAACAGUUUCAGGGUAUCAAUCUCAUCAAAGUCAUCCCUAGUAAGAAUAAUAUCAUCCACAUAGACAGCUACAAUCACAAGGGACCCUGGUGUACCUUUGAUGAAUAAGGAAUAACCAUUCAAAUAAUGUCUAUAGCCUCUUGAUUAUAGGGCAGAAGAAAAUUUGGCAUACCAUUGUCUGGGUGCCUGUCCGAGCCCAUAUAGGGAUUUGUUUAAUUUGCAAACAAGGGGAGUAGAGGCAAAGGAGGCAGAACCAGAGUCAGGAGCAGAAACUGUCAAACCUGGAGGGAGCUUCAUAUAGACCUCCUC
rnacentral:lncRNA from 1 species